UGCUGACGGUGCGGAGCCUGCUUGGGAUUCUCUCUCUCCCUUGCUCUCUGUCCCUCCCCUGCUUGUGCUCUCUCUCCCCAAAUAAAUAAAUAAUACUGCUUGCUUGUUACAGAUGCUGAGUGCUGGAUUCCAAGAAAACCACAAUGCCCACUAAGGGUUGUUGCUAGAGCACUGACUGACUCUCCCCAGCUGCGUGCUUUAGAGUGAGGGUUUCACGCUUAGUGCGGAGCUUGAACGUGGGGCUUGAACUCACCGCCCUGAGAUCAAAACCUGAGCUGAGAUCAAGAGUGGGAUGCUUAACCGACUGAGCCACCCGGGCGUCCCCUGGAAGGAUGCGAAGAUAUGUAAGAGUUGUAGAGUCCCUGCUCUUUGCUCUACACCUGCUUGCCCACCUUGAGUCUCAGGUGAGAAGCCUUGGGUAACCAAUUCUGGGGGAUAUCUCUAGCACGCAGUAACACUGUGGGUGGACAGCAGCAGAUGACUCACCAGGUUCACAGGACAGCUUAGGGUAUAUCAGGGACCAGCCCCCUCUUUCACUUGAUCUUAGCCAAAUGGCCGAGAAGCGAUGCCCCCUCUUUCAGUAGUAGAGACUUAGUGCCAAGGCCUACUCCACCAAGAGGAGUUCCAGUCUUGUGUAUGCUAACGGAGGGAGAGUUUCUAAAAAUGCAUGGGUGUGAUGUGAUGGCUCAGAUUUUGUUGAGAUUUAAUAUGUGAAACCCUGGUCCAAAUUCUAUAUUCUCUGCAGUUUCUUCUCAGGUUGGCCCUUCCGAUCACCAUAAUAGCCCUGGUUUGAACAGGAACGUCUAUAGUCAUCAACAUGAAGGACAAAUCCAGGCUGUGAUGUUUUCCUUUUCGAUGUUCUUACCUCCUUCUUAGGGAGUUCUUGAUAGUAUGCAAUGUACAACAUUGCCAAUUAAGUUAUUAAAGUUUUAAAUGCUUCUAGCCAUUACAGAUUUCCAGGCACCCAUUAUGACAUUUUAAGAGUAGGUCUGUCUACUUCAACGCAAGUGUGGUACUUAGAGAGCUCGAGUUACAGACACUUUGGGUAUCAGAGGAACCAGGUCCAACAGGGGCUGUAAAGGAGGAGGACAAACGGGGUGAGGCUGUCGUGAGUGGAGCCUGGGAAAAUAGAGGGAGCAGAGGGAGCUGUCACGUGGACAGAGGCCUGCAGGCUGGGACGGCACCACUGGGCAUGAGCCCUCUUGUCCUGUCCUCUCACUUCCAGAGCCCUGGGCACAGACAGAGCUUGUGGCUCAGCUCUGUCCCCACCGAGUGAGGCAACCACCACCAUCCGAUUGGCAUGGACCCUCACAGGGGCAACUCUUCUCCAUCUCAGCCCUAGUUUGGUAGAACAACAGGACUAUUUUACAGAUCCCUCAGGUCGCGGAGGCAAAAGACAGAGGGCAGCCCAGAAUUUUCUGCACUUUGAAUUAGACUGACUAAAUACAUUACAUUAGAUUAGAAAACAUGUGUGACAAAACACCGCUCUUCCCACGACUACAGGAACUCGUAGCCAGUGAGGAAAACGGUCUGAAAGGCUCGCCACAGAAGGGCUACGGGCUUGUCUCUCUGGACGGUGGGUCACGAGUGUCGGUUUUUUGCUACUUUUGUUGGGCUCCAUUUUUUGAUUUUCAGUCAAGACUCAAAUUGCUUUUGUAAUAACAACAGAAAGAAAAUGGCGUGCACUUAAUGAAAGAAAUAAUAAAAUAGCUUUUUGAUA